AUAUCAAUAAGCGGAGGAAAAGAAACCAACAGGGAUUGCCCUAGUAACGGCGAGUGAAGCGGCAACAGCUCAAAUUUGAAAUCUGGCUCUUUUAGAGUCCGAGUUGUAAUUUGCAGAGGGCGCUUUGGCUUUGGCAGCGGUCCAAGUUCCUUGGAACAGGACGUCACAGAGGGUGAGAAUCCCGUACGUGGUCGCUGGCUAUUGCCGUGUAAAGCCCCUUCGACGAGUCGAGUUGUUUGGGAAUGCAGCUCUAAAUGGGAGGUACAUUUCUCUAAAGCUAAAUAUUGGCCAGAGACCGAUAGCGCACAAGUAGAGUGAUCGAAAGAUGAAAAGCACUUUGGAAAGAGAGUCAAACAGCAACGUUGAAAUUGUUGAAAAGGGAGCGCUUGCAGCCAGACUUGCUUACAGUUGCUCAUCCGGGUUUCUACCCGGUGCACUCGUUCUGUAGGCAGGCCAGCUAGUCAGUUUGGGCGUAAGGAUAAACGGUCUCGUGUACACGUUACCUCCGUUUACGGGGAGCCUUUAAGGG
rnacentral:rRNA from 1 species